rnacentral:rRNA from 1 species
ACAGGUGGUGCAUGGUUGUCGUCAGCUCGUGUCGUGAGAUGUUGGGUUAAAUCCCGCAACGAGCGCAACCCUUGCCCUUAGUUGCCAACAGGUGAAGCUGAGCACUCUAAUGGGACUGCCCGUGACAAGCGGGAGGAAGGUGGGGAUGACGUCAAAUCAUCAUGCCCUUUAUGAUCUGGGCUACACACGUGCUACAAUGGGUGGUACAGAGAGCGGCGAAGCCGUGAGGCGGAGCGAAUCUCAAAAAGCCAUUCUCAGUUCGGAUUGCAGUCUGCAACUCGACUGCAUGAAGUCGGAGUCGCUAGUAAUCGCGAAUCAGCACGUCGCGGUGAAUGCUUUCCCGGG